GACGAACGCUGGCGGCGUGCUUAACACAUGCAAGUCGAACGGAAAGGCCCUGCUUUUGUGGGGUGCUCGAGUGGCGAACGGGUGAGUAACACGUGAGUAACCUGCCCUUGACUUUGGGAUAACUUAAGGAAACUGGGGCUAAUACCGGAUAGGAGCUCCUGCUGCAUGGUGGGGGUUGGAAAGUUUCGGCGGGUGGGGAUGGACUCGCGGAUUAUCAGCUUGUUGGUGGGGGAGUGGAUUACCAAGGCUUUGACGGGUAGCCGGCCUGAGAGGGUGACCGGCCACCUUGGUCCUGAGGUACGGCCCAGACUCCUACGGGAGGCAGCAGGGGGAAAUCUUGCACAAUGGGCCGAAGCCUGAUGCAGCAACGCUGCGUUCGGGAUGACGGCCUUCGGGUUGUAAACCGCUUUCGCCUGUGACGAAGCGUGAGUGACGGUAAUGGGUAAAGAAGCACCGGCUAACUACGUG
rnacentral:rRNA from 1 species